GAAUCGUGAUCAGACACAGGGCUCUCCAUCCUCUGCUUCCCCUUUUCAGGGGAUACAGGGUGACUGGCCCAAGUGAGCCACCCGAUCACCGACUUCUAAAACUCCGACGAUGCUCUUUCUAACUGCACAAAUGCCUGCAGCUGCUGCUGCUACUAUCGCAUGGCCUGCACGGCUUCGAUGAGGCCCCUGACCUGCUGAACCAACAGGUCGAACUGCUCCAUGCCGACUGUCAUUGUCGGAGGAGGAGGAGCAUGGAAAACUGGAGACGAGGCUGGAGCUGACGGAUCUUGCUGAGAUCUAGCCAUGGAGGUCGUAGAUCACCUGGUGGAUGCCUUUCGGGGAGGCAUCAGGUUGGGAUCUGACCGGAGAAGAAGAAGAAGAUGUCGAAGAAGAUGAUCGGAGACAGUCCCAUUGAGUACUCCUUUAAGAACAAGGGUCCUGCGAAGACACAGCCCUUCCU
rnacentral:lncRNA from 1 species